rnacentral:rRNA from 1 species
UACGUAGGGUCCUAGCGUUGUCCGGAAUUAUUGGGCGUAAAGAGCUCGUAGGCGGUUUGUCGCGUCUGCUGUGAAAUCCCGAGGCUCAACCUCGGGUCUGCAGUGGGUACGGGCAGACUGGAGUGCGGUAGGGGAGAAUGGAAUUCCUGGUGUAGCGGUGGAAUGCGCAGAUAUCAGGAGGAACACCGAUGGCGAAGGCAGGUCACUGGGCCGUAACUGACGCUGAGGAGCGAAAGCGUGGGGAGCGAACAGG